rnacentral:rRNA from 1 species
GAUGAACGCUGGCGGCGUGCCUAAUACAUGCAAGUCGAGCGAACAGACGAUGAGCUUGCUCCUCUGACGUUAGCGGCGGACGGGUGAGUAACACGUGGAUAACCUACCUCUAAUACUGGGAUAACUUCGGGAAACCGGAGCUGAUACCGGAUAAUAUAUUGAACCGCAUGGUUCAAUAGUGAAAGACGGUUUUGCUGUCACUUAUAGAUGGAUCCGCGCCGCAUUAGCUAGUUGGUAAGGUAACGGCUUACCAAGGCAACGAUGCGUAGCCGACCUGAGAGGGUGAUCAGCCACACUGGAACUGAGACACGGUCCAGACUCCUACGGGAGGCAGCAGUAGGGAAUCUUCCACAAUGGGCGCAAGCUUGACCAAGCAACGCCGCGUGAGUGAUGAAGGUCUUCGGAUCGUAAAACUCUGUUAUUAGGGAAGAAAAAAUGUGUAAGUAACUAUGCACGUCUUGACGGUACCUAAACAGAAAGCCACGGCUAACUACGUG